rnacentral:rRNA from 1 species
AUCAAUAAGCGGAGGAAAAGAAAAUAACAAUGAUUCCCCUAGUAACGGCGAGUGAAGAGGGAAAAGCUCAAAGUUGGAACCUGGUAGGCAUAGCUUACCCGGAUUGUAAACUAAAGUUUUCGAGUCGUUUAGUCAGCCAGGUAAAUAAGUCCUCUGGAAAGGGGCGACAUAGAGGGUGAAAUCCCCGUCUUUGGCCUGAGUUUUGAUUAGGCGUUUGGCUUGGAAACGAAGAGUCAGGUUGUUUGGGAAUGCAGCCUAAAAUGGGAGGUAAAUCUCUCCUAAAGCUAAAUAUUGACGAAAGACCGAUAGCGAACAAGUACCGUGAGGGAAAGAUGAAAAGCACUUUGAAAAGAGGGUCAAAAAGUACGUGAAAUUGCUGAAAGGGAACCGUAUGAAAUCAGAUCUACUGGUAGGUAAUCAAUCUUUCCUUUGGGAAGGAUGCACUUGCCUACUAUGUAUGCCAGCGACAUUUUGGUUGGGAGGAAAAAAAUAAAGGAAAUGUAGCUUAGGUUUCGGCUUAGGUGUUAUAGUCCUUUAUAAAAUACUCUCGGCUGGAAUGAGGAACGCAGCAAACCGUAAGGCGAAGAUUUCAGGCGCUUAGAGGGAAUAAUUAGAGAAUUUCUGCUUCGGGUGGUGCUUUGAUUAUUACCUUUAACACGCUUGGAGUUCUUUUAAUUUGCUUAGGUUGUUGGCUUAAUGAUUUAUAUGAC